UGUUUGCUACACCCCAGCUCCAAUCUGCUCUCUCCACUCCACGAUCCCACGUUGGAUCUGAACCAGGAUGGGCACAGCCCCUGUCAUUCCUGCAGGAUUUGUGGAGGGUAGCAGACAUCCCAGCUUUGAUUCUUCCUCACUAAAAUCCAGGAGGGAUGACCCUGGAUCUCCAGAUAAUCCUGAUCCAUACACUCAAUCAAGAGUUUGGGACCAGCCCAGGAAUGAUGGGAGCACACUGUGGCAAGCAGAUCCUGCUGGGCCUUGGUGGCAGUUUUCCCCCCGUUUUGGGGUCAGCAUUAUCCCAAUUUUUACAUGGAUGUUGCCCAUGCACAAAAACAUCUAGGAAAGAAAAAUCUAUUUAUGAUUUGCAAUUCAAAGUAUUUAAAAAAAUAUUUCUUCCCCCUGCACAACCCUAGUGCCUGUAAUUUUUAUUUUAAUCCUAAAUAAUCCAGUGUUGAUUUCAUUUCAGUGAGAGCUGAGUUUUAGGAGGGAGGAUAUGUUUGUUUAUGAAUAAAUUUAUGGCUUUUGCUGA